CCUACGGGUGGCAGCAGUCGAGAAUCAUUCACAAUGGGGGAAACCCUGAUGGUGCGACGCCGCGUGGGGGAAUGAAGGUCUUCGGAUUGUAAACCCCUGUCAUGUGGGAGCAAAUUAAAAAGAUAGUACCACAAGAGGAAGAGACGACUAACUCUGUGCCAGCAGCCGCGGUAAUACAGAGGUCUCAAGCGUUGUUCGGAUUCACUGGUCGUAAAGCGUGCGUAGGCUGUUUCGUAAGUCGUGUGUGAAAGGCGCGGGCUCAACCCGCGGACGGCACAUGAUACUGCGAGACUAAGGGAAUGGAGGGGGAACAGGAAUUCUGGGUGUAGCAGUGAAUGCGUAGAUAUCGAGAGGAACACUCGUGGCGAAGGCGGGUUCCUGGACAUUAACUGACGCUGAGGCACGAAGGCCAGGGGAGCGAAAGGGAUUAGAUACCCCUGUAGUC
rnacentral:rRNA from 1 species